GGAGCCAUUCUAUACAGAGCUAUCAAAAUUAGAGUAGUACCAGGUACUAAUUCAAUGCCAAGCUCGACUUCUCAUAUCGGAGGCAAAACUCGGUAGUUCUUCAGGAAACACAUCAGAGAAUUCACAGACAACAGGCACAGAUUCAAAUUUCUUAUCAUUCACUUUCGAGUCUAACACAUAAGCUAAGUAGGCUUAACAGCCUUUCUUCACAUAUUUUCGUGCUUUCAUUGCAG
rnacentral:lncRNA from 1 species